AUCAGCCUUUCGGGUGCGAUUCUGUGGAGUUUGAGGAGCUAAACACCUUCAUGCUUUGCAUAUUCGUGCUCUUGGGUGUACUUGCUCGUGUGGUUGGUUAACAUCAAUUUUGGUGGUCAUAAAAUGACUGGAGGAAUGUAGCUUCGAUCUCGUAUUGAAGUGUUAUAGCCUUCGGUAGAUGUGAUGAUCGAGAUUGAGGAUUGCAACGGAUACCCUUCGGGGCUACCUGUCUGGUCUCUGAUCGUUGCUCUGGUGCCGAAAGCUUGCUUACGGUUAUCAAAGUCGAUGGUCAAUAGGUUAGAACGGGUUAAAUUCGUUAAGGAUGUUGACGUAAUGGCUUU
rnacentral:rRNA from 1 species